rnacentral:lncRNA from 1 species
AUGGCUUUCCCUGUUCAGAAAUAUGAACUAAUGAUUAUCUACCUAAAACAAAAUACGAUGGCUGAGUCAAUAAGGUUCUCAUCAUAGCUUAACAUCUAUAUUUAAAAUCUGAACCUUUUGGACUAUCAAGGAAAGUGUGGGUAUCCAUGUUCUUAAGUACCAACUAAUCAUAUGAAUCAAUGUUCACAUACCUCUAAAAGAAAAUGAAUAAAUCGUAUAUUGGCUUAUAAUCCCCAGGUGUUCUAAUUGCAAGAACACAUGAUAACUACAGCAAAGUCCACCUCCCCAUUCGUCUCUGCAGCUCAACUGCUAGAAAAAGGCACACAAAACUGCAAGCAUAAAUAGAUUUUCUCAGCUCUAUCCAAUGUCAAUAAAAUGCUUCUGGAAGUUUGCAUGCAACUAAACAACACAAAACAGGUCUUCAUCCAAUGGAGGGAACCAAAUAAAUUACCUCCAGAUAAUUUGUCGAGGCAGAUGUCGUGACCGUAAAGAAGUGGACUCCCAGGGUGAGGUCGUUGGCCUGAUGUUGUUCAGUCCUCAUAUGCCACAUAAAACAAAUAUUUAGCAACAACAGUAAGGAAAGGGAAGCAUCGUUCUGCUAGAGCCUACUGCUUAGAAGAAUCUGAACAAACAUCAGUAUUGCAAAGUUAAUAUAAACAUACAACAUGCAUGUGUGUACACAUACAGACUAUCUGCAAGCAAUUUUUUUGCAUCAUCUUGGAAAUUUACUCAUACACAUAGUUAGCAAAAAAAUCAAGUAAUAGGAUCGGCAACACAAAGUAAUUUAGAUUUACUUUGAAACUUCACGAAGCACUACUUAGAAGCAUUUGAACAAAUGUCAAUUUGCAAAAUUGAUAUAAACAUACAACAUGCAUGUCUGUACACAUAUAUACAGACUAUCUGCAAGCAAUUUUUUGCAUCAUCUUGCAGAUUGACCAGCUCAAGCCAUAUAACUGAAGCAACAUACAGGACAUUGGCAUCUCGAUCUGAUUUUGAUCCCCGGAAUUCCAGAAACUUGAUGUGAUGAUGGAUUACUUUUAGUCGCCCUUCACGACCACCUAUGAGUACACACUGCAAUGCAUCUCAAACACAUCCAGGCAUGUAUGUAAACUGUUUUCUACAGCAGGGCCAGACUAUUAAAAUCAUCUAGAACAUUAUACCGACUAAAGAGUAAUACACACUGCAAUGCAUCUCAAACACAUCCAGGCAUGUAUGUAAGCUUCUUUCUACAGCAGGGUCAGACUAUAUUAAAAUCAUCAAGAACUUUGUACCAAGUAAAGAGUAAUCAUCAAAUACCAAGUAAAGAGUAUUGCCGAGAAUUAGACCGCUUUCUACCCAACUUGCAGCCUUUAUCUCCCCUGCUUGGGUAUCUAGGCAGUCCAAAAUAGUACAACUUCGAAUUUAGUGAGCUGCAUUGCAUCCUUCAACCAAGGAACGGCCAUUGCUAUCCCAUCUAC